GAUGAACGCUGGCGGCGUGCCUAAUACAUGCAAGUCGAGCGAACAGACUAAGAACUUUCUCCUCUGACGUUACCGGCGGACGGAUUAGUAAACCGUGGAUAACCUACCUAUAAGACUGGGAUAAAUUCGGGGAACCGGAGCUAAUACCGGAUAAUAUAUUGAACCACAUGAUUCAAUAGUAAAAGACGAUUUUGAUGUCACUUAUAGAUGAAUCCGCGCCUCAUUAGCUUGUUGUUAAGGUAACGGUUUACCAAGGCCACGAUGGGUAUCCGACCUGAGAGGGUGAUAGGCCACACUGGAACGGAGACACGGUCCAGACCCCUACGGGAGGGAGCCGUAGGAAACCCUCCGCAAUGGGCGAAAGGGUGAAGGAGCAACGCCGCGUGAGUGAUGAAGGUAGUCGGGUCGUAAAACUCAGUUAUUAGGGAAGAAGAAAUGUGUAAGUAACUAUGCACGUCUUGACGGUACUUAACCAGAAAGCUCCGGCUAACUACGUG
rnacentral:rRNA from 1 species